GUGCGAGACCGAUAGCGAACAAGUACCGUGAGGGAAAGAUGAAAAGAACUUUGAAAAGAGAGUUAAAGAGUACCUGAAACUGCUGAAAGGGAAGCGAAUCGUAUCCAGUGUCUAUAAUCUGCGGCAUAUUUCAUUGGCGGCAGUGUGCGUGCUUUUGCGUCGGAAGCGGCUUUUGUUGCUCUGUGCUUUUGCUGUGCGUGCUGUUGCUGGUGCCCUGUGUUGCGGUGGGACGUCAGAGUCAGUUCGUAUGCUGCGGGAAAUGGCCGCCGAGGAGGUAGGUCAGGACUUCGGUCUUGGCUGUUAUAUCUUGGCGGUUUGUUGUCGUGGUUGGGACUGAGGCGCCUACAAUGUGCUUUUGAGUGUGCCGGGUUCUCAUUUGGUGGACUGUUUGGAUAGCUUGCUAUGCUUGUGGUUUUUUCAUCGAGUGAUUGAGUCUGGUGGUAACUUGUUGCUGUUCGGGACUUUGAA
rnacentral:rRNA from 2 species